GCCACCUUAGCUCAAUCGGUAGAGCACGAGAUUUGUAAUCUCGAGGUCGUCGGUUCGAUCCCGACAGGUGGCU
rnacentral:tRNA from 1 species